rnacentral:rRNA from 1 species
GACGAACGCUGGCGGCGUGCUUAACACAUGCAAGUCGAACGCAGUGGGGACGGGUGAGUAACACGCGGGUAACCUCCCAUCAGAGGGGAUAACACUUGGAAACAGGUGCUAAACCGAUACAGAUGGAUGGACCCGCGGUGCAUUAGCUAGUUGGUGAGGUGACGGCUCACCAAGGCCACGAUGCAUAGCCGACCUGAGAGGGUUGUCGGCCACACUGGGACUGAGACACGACCCAGACUCCUACAGUGGGCAGCAGUAGGUAAUCUGCGGCAAUGGACGGAAAUCUGGCCGGACAACGCCGCGUGAGUGAAGAAAGUUUGCGGGUCGUAAAACUCUGUUGUUAGAGAAGCGGUAUCUAACCAGAGAGCCACGGCUAACUACGUACCAGCAGCCGCGGUAAUAC